ensembl:snRNA U6 U6 spliceosomal RNA
GUGCUGUCAUGACAGCACAUAUAUUAACACUGGAGCAAUACAGAGAAGAUCAGCAUAACUCCCCCGACAAAAAUGACCGGAAAAAUUGUGAAGCACGUCAUAAACAA